UACGAGGGGGGCAAAUGUUGUCCGGAAUCACUGGGCGUAAAGGGCGCGUAGGCGGCUUUUCAAGCGUGCGGUGAAAGCUCGGGGCUUAACUCCGAGUCUGCCGUGCGAGCUGGGAGGCUUGAGUCUGGUAGAGGUCGAUGGAAUUCCGGGUGUAGCGGUGGAAUGCGUAGAGAUCCGGAAGAACACCGGUGGCGAAGGCGGUCGACUGGGCCAGAACUGACGCUGAGGCGCGACAGCGUGGGGAGCAAACAGG
rnacentral:rRNA from 1 species